rnacentral:rRNA from 1 species
GGACCAAGGAGUCUAGCAUGUGCGCGAGUCAUUGGGAUUUUUACUAAACCUAARGGCGCAAUGAAAGUGAAGGUCCGCCCUGCGCGGACCGAGGGAGGAUGGAUAGUACCGAGGUGCUGUCUCGCACUCCCGGGGCGUCUCGUUCUCAUCGCGAGAAGAGGCGCACCCAGAGCGUACACGCUGGGACCCGAAAGAUGGUGAACUAUGCCUGGUCAGGACGAAGUCAGGGGAAACCCUGAUGGAGGUCCGUAGCGAUUCUGACGUGCAAAUCGAUCGUCGGAACUGGGUAUAGGGGCGAAAGACUAAUCGAACCAUCUAGUAGCUGGUUCCCUCCGAAGUUUCCCUCAGGAUAGCUGGCGCUCGCUUCUCGCGAGUCUCAUUCGGUAAAGCGAAUGAUUAGAGGCAUUGGGGUCGAAACGGCCUCAACCUAUUCUCAAACUUUAAAUGGGUGAGAUCUCCGGCUUGCUUGAACUGUGAAGCCGCGAGAUAUCGGAUCAGAGUGCCAAGUGGGCCACUUUUGGUAAGCAGAACUGGCGCUGUGGGAUGAACCAAACGCAGAGUUAAAGCGCCUAAAUCGACGCUUAUGGGAUACCAUGAAAGGCGUUGGUAACUUAAGACAGCCGGACGGUG